GAUGAACGCUGGCGGCGUGCCUAAUACAUGCAAGUCGAGCGAACGGACGAGAAGGUGGCUUCACUGAUGUUAGCGGCGGACGGGUGAGUAACACGUGGAUAACCUACCUAUAAGACUGGGAUAACAUCGGGAAACCGUAGCUAAUACCGGCUAAUAUUUUGAACCGGAUGGUUCAAAAGUGAAAGACGGUCUUGCUGUCACUUAUAGAUGGAUCCGCGCUGCAUUAGCUAGUUGGUAAGGUAACGGCUUACCAAGGCAACGAUGCAUAGCCGACCUGAGAGGGUGAUCGGCCACACUGGAACUGAGACACGGUCCAGACUCCUACGGGAGGCAGCAGUAGGGAAUCUUCCGCAAUGGGCGAAAGCCUGACGGAGCAACGCCGCGUGAGUGAUGAAGGUCUUCGGAUCGUAAAACUCUGUUAUUAGGGAAGAACAGAUGUGUAAGUAACUCUGCACAUCUUGACGGUACCUAAUCAGAAAGCAACGGCUAACUACGUG
rnacentral:rRNA from 1 species